rnacentral:rRNA from 1 species
AUACGGAGGAUGCGAGCGUUAUCCGGAUUUAUUGGGUUUAAAGGGUGCGUAGGCUGUGCGUUAAGUCAGGGGUCAAACUGCGGGGCUCAACCCCGUACCGCCGUUGAAACUGCGGCGCUGGAGUGUGGGCGACGGAGCCGGAAUGCGUGGUGUAGCGGUGAAAUGCAUAGAUAUCACGCAGAACUCCGAUUGCGAAGGCAGGUUCCGAGUCCGCCACUGACGCUCAUGCACGAAAGCGUGGGUAUCGAACAGGAUUAGAUACCCUGGUAGUCCACGCGGUAAACGAUGAUCACUAGUUACGCGCCGCGACCGAGCGGUACGCGACCGAGCGAAAGCGUUAAGUGAUCCACCUGGGGAGUACGCCGGCAACGGUGAAACUCAAAUGAAUUGACGGGG